CAGCCAUUCAAGUGGUGCUGGUGCUGUAGGAGCUUUCUUUUAUAUCUCUUCUAGUUGCUGUCUGAACACAAAGAUGGCUUUUUCUGGGAAGAUGAUGGAGGAUAAAAGACAGAAGAGGUUUUAUUUAUAUAGGUUGUUUUCCUCAUACCUAAAAGUCUUCCUAAGACCUUGCCAGUGAGUUUUCCCAUGUGAACCAUCUCCCAGCCUCCCCAGUGAUGAGGAUUAUGCUCAGCUUUGGGAUUUAUAACCUGUUUUAUUGUAGAAGGGAAGGGUGACCUGAGCAUGGGACUAGACCUGCUGUGUCUUUUGUCAUGGAGCCACCAACUUCCAGAGUAGCUCCCAGAGCUGGACAGGAGUAGCCAUGGCUUUGUAUUUCAGUUGAAGCCCAGCCAGCCCUGAUGACAGCGCUGUCAAACUAACACGGGGUGAGAAUUUGCACUGGCACCUCUGCAUCAGGGUGAUGGGCACUUUAGGAAUGCACAGACAAAAAUACAGACAGGAUAUUGAUGGGUAAACUAAUGUGUGGACUUGUACUUACAAGCUCAGGCUCAGAGGUGAAUAUUCUGACAACUGAAACGUUUUGACAUGAGUUCUUAUUAAGAAAACGUGUGAACCAGUUUGGAUGGAAUCGAAAGUGUCUUUACCCACAGACCAGGAAACAAUCUGCUGGAGAUUUGGAAAGAGCUGUAGCUGGCCUUUCCUACAGUCCUGCUUUUCCUACAGCCCCUCAUGGGGCUGCAAUAGCAGAAAGUGACUCUGUGAAAUGUGGCCCAACGUGUUUUGGCCCAGGUGAUACUGGGGUGUGAGCACCGAGUUCAGAAGUGCUCAUGGAUCUGGGAAUCUCUCUUUAACACAGCCUUUAAAAUUCUAACUGUACUGCAGUUGCCUGGGAUUUUUUAUUUUUUUUUUUCCUAAUGCAUGAUAUUUGAAUUUCCUUUGAGGAAGAGAGACUGUAAAUAAAUCAAGUGAAGGGAUUUUUUUUUUCCCAUGACAUAAUUCAAAAAGCCAUCUCAGAAAACACCCAAUGUCUCUGCCACCCCAACCUGAUUUAGGGUUCAGAGUGACAGAGCAUCUGGAAUAUUUUGGGAGAAGGGCUACUUCCUUCUCCCAACAGGGAAGCUCUUGCCCAGUAGCUGGUCUCAGUUUUGUGGUAAAUGUGUCGGUAAAUAGCACUCAGAGCUGCCUACAAAAAUCUCUUUAGUGUCUCCCAGGGGUCUGAGGAGCUAAUGUUGAAAUUGUUGGAGGCAGAAUAAGAUCCUAUAAAAACUGAGCAAGGAAUCUGGCAUGUUCUUCGUACUUGAGUGAAACCUGACUUUUAAUGAUCUCACCAUCGUUUUGUAGUUGAGGUUAAGCACAAAGUCUUGUGGGAUGCACUGCAGGAUUAUGUCAGAGAAUGAGGGACACUUAUACAGGAAUUUUAGGACAGCAAGCACCCUUAAAGGGGCAUUUCAAAACUCCUCUAGAUAUUUAUGAUCUCUUUGAGAGAGCCCCAGUCUUGCGACUUGUCCUUUAAAACACUCUGGGGAUGAAAUGUUUCAAAGAAGCCUUGAUUAGUUUAGUCCCCCUCCUUUUUUUCUCCACUGUGUUUUUUUUUAAUUUUUUUUUUUUUUAAACCAACCAGAAAUUUAUCAUCAUGCCUACUUCUGCAGAGUAGUAUUGUGUAAGCCUGAUAUACAUUUUCCAUGUAAAAACUCAACCUGUCAAUCAACAUUUUAAAAACUGCAGUGUCUCUACUUAGCAAUGUAAAUAAAACUGCUUUAUUUACAGAGGCUUAGGAACUAUGAAGGAUAAGGUAUAGAAGGAAGGAAUCACCAAGUAUGUGAAAAAAUAGCAAAAUGGCUCCAGAUUUUUUAAUGGAACAGGUUAAAUUUCUUUUUGAGGGAAAGUUAAUAUAUUUAAAUACACGUGGGCAAAUUCCCUUGUCUCCUGGAGAGUUAGGACACGACUCUGUGCUCUGUAGCAGCACUUUUCUGCUGCUGCUGCAAAUGUGCUUUGUACCCAUGUUAAAGGAUGCUGCUCCAAAGCAGAGAAUUAGACCUCGGCAUGUAAAAUAGGGAGGUGAUGCAAAGCAAUUUGAGUAGGAAAUCCUGGGACAUUAGUGAUGCUCCAAGUGCAAAUUUUAAUAUGGAUUUAACUGCAGAGCUGCUACUGAGGCCUCAGUAAUGUUAUUUUAAGGUUAAUUUGGAAGCCUCGUUCGAGGUUUUGGCUGCCUAACAGCCACUGUCAUUAGUGAGAGUUGCAUGGUUGAGUUCCUGCCCUGGAAAUCUCCCUCUCUCCAGUUGUUUAUGUACAUAGAAAUAAAUGAGCAAAUAGACCAUUCUUUGAGGAGACAAUUUGGUGUAUAAUAACACAUUAAUGUUUUAAUCCAGUCAUCUGUACUCCCACAAGGCAGGCAAAGGAGCCUCAGAUCUGAGUUCUGAACCUUUUCUUAAUGACAGAUUUCUUUGGUCAGAAGCAAGUCAAGCUCUCCCUUUGUCAUCCUGGCUUAUUUUUCAGUCUUGCUGUCUUUCCACAAGACAGCAGUGAGAGAUUGCUAUGAAACUAAUUAAUGUCUGACAGCCAGAUCGAACCAAAUAUCCAAAGGAUUCAGACUACAGUUCAUUCCCCUUUACAAAGCAGAACACCACGAGGCAGGAAACAUAUAGAUGACAUUAUUAUACUAACAAAUAGCUGAGGGAAUUUUCUUGCUCAUUUUAUCCAAAUUAGACAAUUUCAGACAAUUAUGGUUAAACUCCCCUCCCAGACUGCUGCUCAGUUACCUUGAUGUGUUGGUGGCUGUAAAGAGAUAUAUAUGAAAUAUUACCUGAGAGGGAAGCUGUGUGCUUUAGUGGACCUCUAUUGUCUCUCAGACUGCGACCACAAGGGAGAAAUAAGGGUCAUGUGUCAUAUAUGCAUAGCCAAAGUAUAGAAGAUUUAUGACUUAGUGAAUAUGUAGAUACGCUGGUGUUCUUGACCAAGCUGUGGAAGCUGUCCUUGAGUGUGCCUGAGGUUUUGCUGUUAAAAAAAAAUACUUCAAAGCAAGAAAGAGACAAACAAUUACACACACGGAGUCUUGGAACACUUGGGCAGUGUUCUCUGCAAUCGCAAAAAUAAUGACUGCUCAUCCUGGUCUCUUGGGGGGGAAAUUUCCAUAUUUUUGCUUUCGAGGCACUUUCAAAGCCAUUUACUGCCAUAAUUCAUACACCGCUGGAUUAAGAACCAUAUGCCUCUUAAAAUCAGCAAGAGGCUAUGUAGAGGAUUUGCUGAUUUAAGGAAAAGGCAAAAAUAAAAAUCAAAUAGGCAGAUUGAGACCUACUUUUACUUCAAAGGAUAUAAUCACACCAGUUUGGCAGUCCACUCAUUAAGAAAUAGUUCCUGAUUAAUUGGCUAGAGUGACAAGAAGAAAUAUCAAACCUCAGAGUGUUGACCGCUGCAUUUGAUUUUAUCCUGACCGUGGUGUCUGUUGGUCAGCAGUUCCCUGCAAUUGUUGGCAGUUCAUUCAACCCAAGCUGUAUCCAGGGGAUUAAACACUGCUGGUGGAUCAGGAGGGGAACAUUUCAUCUGCAAAACAGAAACCAGGGAAGGUCCUGUGGCAUCGGCUCUGAAGGAUCACACUUGGCUACGUUAGAUCACAGCACGAUACAAACUCACUGCACUUCUCAGAAGAACAUGCACAGAUUUCCCUGCUCUGAAGCAAAAUACUUCCAAAUUCUACAAUUCCUAAUCUUUUCUGCAAUGGGAGAUGGAAAGAAAAUCUAUUUUUUCUUCAUCAAAUCGAUGGCAUUUUCUAUUUACAACCAACAUGCUCAAUGAUAACACCAGUCCCUGUAUGACAUUAAAAUAAAAUCUGCAUCAAUGCUGACAGCAUGGGUGCAGAUACAGUAUUUGUGUCUUCUUGGGGAAAUUGGAGUUAAUAACUUUCACUAAACUUGCUGAUUUUUCUGUACAGAGAUUUUUCAGGUGAUUUAUUUGCUACACACUCUUAAAGACAGGUUUGAUCCUGCUGAAUUGGAAGGACCUCUUGCUUCAAAAAUAGAAUCUAAUGGUUGACACAUUUUUUCCUGGACAAGAUCAACAGGGCUGCAUACAGAGAAAUGUAAAAACACGUUUCUCUUCCCCUUGUGGUAAUAUUCCUGUCUGUGUAGGAAAAAGGGAAAUAUGAGAACAUGAUGGGAUUCAUGCUAAUGCUGCUUGUGUCACUUCAGUAAGGACCCUCUUCAGUCCACUGCUGGUUUCUGAGACAACACAGCCUCCAAUAUUUUGUAGAGAAAACCUUGUUUAUGUCCCUCUUUAGUUUUAGUGCCUGGAGAGCAGCUCUUGGGGAACAUCUGCGAGGAGCUGCAUUGAUUUCCCAUUCCUCAGAAGGCCCCACCUGGAGCUUUUCAUCCUGUUUGGGCCAAUGCAAUUUGGGAAAGAUUUGAAUGAGCAGGACACAGUUUAGAGGAGAGCAGGGAGAAUAAAUCAGAAGCCCAGAAAAUAUGGCCCACAAAGAUUAAAGGAAAUGGGUUACUGAGCCUGAGGCACUGAUGUCUGGGAGCAAGACUGCUCUUUUCACAUAGAUAAAUCUCCCUGUCUCUGCUGGACAAAGCAAUGGACUGAAAGUAGCAAGAGCCAGGAUGGAUUUUAAAAAAGCCUUCCUGGUCAGGGAGGUUAUAGCAGCACUGGAGGAGGUGGCUGGAGUCUCUUUCACUGUGUCCUGCCUGGAAGCAGGUAGAGGAACAUCUGGUAGAAAGAAUGUAAUUUGCUUUCAAAGGAAAAAUGACCUUUAAAUCUCAGGGCCUUUUUCCACAAUGUGAUUCUGGAUCUCUCCAUGCAGGUCCUGAAACUGCUGCUGUUACAGUAUAUUAUAGCAGUCCUGGAAGUUCCUUAUAGCAGGAAGAAUUUCCUGCUUCCCUUCCUUUUCCUGGAAAGAUGCUAUCCAUAGGUGGAAAACCUCUCAAAAAAAUCAGUUUGAGUAAAGGCUAUUCGCUUUUUGAAAUAUUUAUAGGGGCCAACAGGUACAAAAGCAUCUAGAAAACAAAUUUUUGCUCAUUUUUUAUCACUCAUUUCUUUUUCAAGGUCUUAAAACUUUAAAAAGAAACCUGGCCUAAAACUCCAUGCUUCCCAUCCCCUUGGCAGAAGUACAGGACACCUGAGGAUAUUGACUGAACAAGCCCCCCAAACACCAGCCUUGGAAUUCACUUUUUGCUCCUUUUUGAAAGAGCAAACAAUCACGUCUGCAAUAAUGUAAAUUUUGCUUUCAUUAUGACUGUACUCCCACAAGCUAAUUACAUUUCAGACACAAAGCCUGUCAACUUUCCUGCUCUGUGGUGAUAAAGGAACCUGCUGGGUAAAAUAGCCACCACUCAUGUGUUAUUUCGGGAAAUAUCUAGCCAGCUGUGGGAGAGAGGCCUUGUUUUUGUGUUGAAGUAAAGAAACAAAACAGGAAAACUCCAGUAGUUCUAGUAAAUGCAAGUGGCCAUAAUGAUCAAUAUGAUUGGACAACAUAGUUUAAAAUUAAUCACAGUCUUUGUUUAAGGAACCUGUCUGGUUUUGCUUUGCAUGUUCUUUUCCAUAUUUAUUGAGAGUACCAACUGAAAUUGAGACCCUUUCCUCUGGGAUUUAAGGCUGCAUGUUUUCCUUUGCAGCCAGGGUGGGCUGGAGCUGUUCCAGAGCUGUGCAAGAGUGGCUUAAUUUCUUCCCAGCUUAUGUCCUAGAGGUUUUCACCCUAACCAGCUUAAACAGCUGUCCAGGGAGAAAAAGAACAUUCCAUCAGUCCUGCAAUUCAGUGCUCAUGCAGCACUUGCUUUUGAGAUCUGUUUUAACUAAACCACCUGAUAAUUUUUUUCUCUCCUUUUUUUUUUUUUCCACCUGAGCAAAUAAGAGCACUCCCAGAUUUGGAUUUGCCAGCUGAAAUGUGAAGGUGACAUGGAGCAGAGGGGUGAUGAACAGCCCAACAAACCAGGGGUGAAGGCAGCAUCUUUCCCUGCAUGGCCCUUCCCAUAACAGGCUUCUGGGAGGAACACAAAGGCACUUCCAGAGUGAAACAAUGAAUGUUAACUCAAGAAAUGUGAAUUGUUUUUAAUUUCCUGUGGAAAAGCUUCAGACAUCUAACCUCAAGACAGAAGUAAAUGCAUCGUGUGUUAAUCAGGCAGAAUAAGGAAUAGGAAAACAGGAGUCUGGGUGCAAACAUUUCACAAAUCUCAGUGAUGUGUUUUAUCACUGAGGGGCAGUUUACAGAAGUGUUACUUGAAGUGUUGCACAGACAUUGAGAGACCAGCACCAGUGACACAGGAGCAUCAGGAGGGAUGAUAAAAGGAGGCUUUUCAGCUUAUGCCCUUUCUAAAUGUGGUCAGGAGAAAACAGAAACCUGCUGAGUUCACCCUGUAGUAAGUUUGUGGAUGAGGAUGAGCCCUGCCCACCUUUGCUCCUCACAGCAGUGGUUCAGCCAAGCAGUUGGAGCCCUGACAAUCCAGUGCUCCCAGCCAGGGAAAGACAAUCUGAUCGCAGUCCAUGCCUCUCACUGAGCAAGACAAGGUGACAGAGCAAGCAUUGAAAGGAAUCUGUGCAACACUUGGGAAUUCAAAAUUUCAUCAUUUUGUCAGGUUUUAAAUUGUGACAUCACCUUAUGUUUCUCAACCGGAAACACGCAGCUCUCUAGAGAAUAUCAAAAAGAUCUGAGAAGCAGCAGCAUGGAGAGUGCAUCCAGCCCUGUGGCACUCCAGAGCUGUGGCCCUUAGGAAUUCUGCUGACAUGUACCUUGUAGUUGUACUUGUAAAACGAGGAACCCUCCCAGAUGCCUCUCCUCUGCAGAAGUGAAUUAACAUCCUGUCAUAGACCCUUUUCAGUUAUCUCAGCCCUGGGCUUGAGUGCAGAGUUCUUGUCAAUAAAGCCUGAUAAACAAAUGCAAUACUUGGAGUGUUUAAAAACACGGCAUCGGUUUUGUGGCUGUGAAUUUCAUUAACUCUCUAAGCAGAAUUGGACUUUUGCUGGUAAUUCAUUCAAAGCAAGUAGCCAGUGUGUAAAUCCUUAGUUCUGUGGUAAAGCCUGUGCAUGCAAAAUUAAACUGGAUGAAAUCUAGAAGCCUGUGUGGGUAUUUUGGGUAAAUUUACAGCUUUUGUACUCAGCCUUUCUUCUGAUGGAAUUAAUAAAUGUUUGGGAUUGUUGCAGCUGCAGUCAACUCCUGUAAUAUAUUGAUUAGCAUCAUAUUGACAAAAAAUUGGUCUCUGUUAACCAGGAACAGCACAGUGUUACACAGGUUACAAAAGUUAUAUAAAGUGUGCCGACAUGUUUGGAGAAGUGACACAUCACACACAGUCAAUAAUGAUGGAAAUUGGAGCAGAAUUCUCCAGCUCAGCCUUGAUUAUCUCGCAGAAAGUGAUCCUAGG